rnacentral:rRNA from 1 species
GACGAACGCUGGCGGCGUGCUUAACACAUGCAAGUCGAACGGAAAGGCCCUGCUUUUGUGCGGUGCUCGAGUUGCGAACGGGUGAGUAACCCGUGAGUAACCUGCCCUUGACUUUGGGAUAACUUCAGGAAACUGGGGCUCAUACCGGAUAGGAGCUCCUGCUGCUUGGUGGGGGUUGGAUAGUUUCGGCGGUUGGGGAUGGACUCGCGGCUUAUCAGCUUGUUGGUGGGGUAGUGGCUUACCAAGGCUUUGACGGGUAGCCGGGCUGAGAGGGUGACCGGCCACAUUGGGACUGAGAUACGGCACAGACUCCUACGGGAGGCAGCAGUGGGGAAGAGUGCACAAUGGGCGGAAGCCUGAUGCAGCAAAGCAGCGUGCGGGAUGACGGGCUUCGGGUUGUAAACCGCUGUCGCCUGUGACGAAGCGUGAGUGACGGUAAUGGGUAAAGAAGCACCGGCUAACUACGUG